GAGGAGUUAACCUACUGUAUAAAAGCAGAAGUUUCUCAGAGAGCUGAUCUCUCAGAGCUGCGCUGGAUGUUUUCGCUUUUCAGCUCAUCACAUGAUUAUACAAAGGCAAAACGUAUGAGAAAUUACCACAUGAGACAACAUGUAUGGAGAAUCAGAAACUGCAGAAUAAUUAAACGUGACAAGAGAAAAAUGGAGUUACAAUCUAAUGAACCAAAACAGAAAAUGUUGACUCUAGUCAGACAAAGGAGCAUUAACAGCGGCAAACCAAACUUUUCUUCUGUUUCACAUUUUCAUUCUGAUGUCGGAGUCACAGAGGAGCAGGAGAAAAAAUUUGGAUUAAUGCGGAGACGGGUCAAGGAACUGCUGACAGAAUUUAUCUGGCGGUGAACGGUUUCUGAAGCCACAGAGUGAUGAUCACUGCCUCAACAUCAGCCACAGACUAAAAUGGAAAUGCAAAUGCAUCAAGUAGUGGUGUCUGAAAGUGUAAACAUCUGAACAUCUGCUAUGUGUUUAACUGUUUUACUGCAUGACUGCCUGUAACGCAUCAUGUGAUGUGAUGAAAUCUAAAAAAAACAUGGUUUGAAAAAGAGAGACAUUUUGUUGUCCAAAAUUCAUAACUUUUAUUAUGAGUGUGAUCUAAAACUAAUCUUGAUCUUUUAAUAACUAUGAAUGUGAUCAGAUGUGUGUGUAUCUCUCUUGAUCCAGACAGACAGAUUGUGAUCCUGAUGUUCAUUGAGACAGUAAAUGUUUCUUACCAGAGGAUCAGACGUCUUUCUGCUUCUUCAGAUGAUGGAUGAUGAUGUUUCUAGAAAAUGCAGAAAAUCACAGAUCAGUCAUACAGUAAAUGCAUUAUAAUGACAUUCACAAAAGACAUUUCUUAUUUAAAAAGAUGUAAAAAUGUAAUAAUCUUGGUUCAGAAGAUACGUUAGUGAAAAUUUCAAUCUAAGAUAAUAAAACUCUCUGAUUAAACAGUA